UCGAACGGCAGCACGGGGGCAACCCUGGUGGCGAGUGGCGAACGGGUGAGUAAUACAUCGGAACGUGUCCUGUAGUGGGAGAUAGCCCGGCGAAAGCCGGAUUAAUACCGCAUACGCUCUACGGAGGAAAGGGGGGGAUCUUAGGACCUCCCGCUACAGGGGCGGCCGAUGGCAGAUUAGCUAGUUGGUGGGGUAAAGGCCUACCAAGGCGACGAUCUGUAGCUGGUCUGAGAGGACGACCAGCCACACUGGGACUGAGACACGGCCCAGACUCCUACGGGAGGCAGCAGUGGGGAAUUUUGGACAAUGGGGGAAACCCUGAUCCAGCAAUGCCGCGUGUGUGAAGAAGGCCUUCGGGUUGUAAAGCACUUUUGUCCGGAAAGAAAACUUCUGCCCUAAUACGGUGGGAGGAUGACGGUACCGGAAGAAUAAGCACCGGCUAACUACGUGCCAGCAGCCGCG
rnacentral:rRNA from 1 species